rnacentral:rRNA from 1 species
UACGUAGGUGGCAAGCGUUGUCCGGAUUUACUGGGCGUAAAGAGCGCGCAGGCGGUCGAUCAAGUCGCGUGUUAAAGCCCCCGGCUCAACUGGGGAGGGUCACGCGAUACUGAUCGACUCGAAGGCAGGAGAGGGUAGUGGAAUUCCCGGUGUAGUGGUGAAAUGCGUAGAUAUCGGGAGGAACACCAGUGGCGAAGGCGACUACCUGGCCUGUUCUUGACGCUGAGGCGCGAAAGCUAGGGGAGCAAACGGG